UCCAUUAGCCUUAGCUAGUGGUUCAAUGCCUUCCAAUACGGUGAUAAAUCCUAAAUCUUUGAAUGCAAUUACAUUAAGAAGCGGUAAGGAAAUUGG